UACGUAGGGUGCGAGCGUUGUCCGGAAUUACUGGGCGUAAAGAGCUCGUAGGCGGUUUGUCGCGUUGGUGGUGAAAUCUCGCGGCUUAACUGUGAGCGUGCGGGCGAUACGGGCAGACUGGAGUACUGCAGGGGAGACUGGAAUUCCUGGUGUAGCGGUGGAAUGCGCAGAUAUCAGGAGGAACACCGGUGGCGAAGGCGGGUCUCUGGGCAGUAGCUGACGCUGAGGAGCGAAAGCGUGGGGAGCGAACAGG
rnacentral:rRNA from 1 species